GUUGAACGCUGGCGGCAUGCUUUACACAUGCAAGUCGAACGGCAGCACGGACUUCGGUCUGGUGGCGAGUGGCGAACGGGUGAGUAAUACAUCGGAACGUGCCCAGUUGUGGGGGAUAACUACUCGAAAGAGUAGCUAAUACCGCAUGAGAACUGAGGUUGAAAGCAGGGGAUCGUAAGACCUUGCGCAACUGGAGCGGCCGAUGGCAGAUUAGGUAGUUGGUGGGAUAAAAGCUUACCAAGCCGACGAUCUGUAGCUGGUCUGAGAGGACGACCAGCCACACUGGGACUGAGACACGGCCCAGACUCCUACGGGAGGCAGCAGUGGGGAAUUUUGGACAAUGGGCGAAAGCCUGAUCCAGCAAUGCCGCGUGCAGGAUGAAGGCCUUCGGGUUGUAAACUGCUUUUGUACGGAACGAAAAGCUUCGGGUUAAUACCCUGGAGUCAUGACGGUACCGUAAGAAUAAGCACCGGCUAACUACGUGCCAGCCGCCGCCGUAAAAC
rnacentral:rRNA from 1 species